AACGUGAUUACAAUAAAUCCACGUAGAAAUUUCAGACUUUUUACCAUUACUACGUCUGUCAAUUAUAUUGCCUUGCAUGAUAUAAUGUUUUGAUGUGGUUUUAGGCUAAAUUGUAUCUCAAAUUAUUUUUCUAGGAAUUGGAAAACACAACCUGCUAAUGCACCACGCAAGAAGAAGAGCAAGUCUUCCAAGUCCGAGAGUGUGUCUGCGAGAUCCAUUGAAACUAAUCAAGCUACAAUGUACAUGUAACGUACAACCACCAUUUGAUUAGAUGCCUGUGAACACUGAACAGCAAGACCAACAUCUGUAUCCUUUACAUUAGUAUUUGUUUCCAUUUUAUUAUGUAAUUCUUAUGUCUAAUCAUUGAGAUUCAUAGGCAAGUACAACAUGUAUGUGUACACAAUGAGUGCCUGCAUAUUGUGAAGAUAAAGUACCAUAAGACCAUUACUUAUGAUACAUGGUGAUGAUGGUAUACUUUGUAAAACUAUUUGAAAAUAGUAGCAUGUAAGUCUGUCAUUUUCUUGUUUAUAUAUAUCUCAAUGACAUGACAUGUCAUUGAUUUUGUAGUAA